CGCACAUUGCGCCCUUUGGCAUUCCUUAGGGCAUGCCUGUUCGAGCGUCAUCUAACCCCUCAAGCACCGCUUGAUGUUGGGCGUUUGUCCCGCCUCCGGGCGCGGACUCGCCUCGAAAGCAUUGGCAGCCUGUGUAUUGGCUUCGAGCGCAGCAGAAUCGCGCCUCGUCCCCUCUCCGCGCAGGCGUCCAGGAAGCAACCCCCAAGUUUGACCUCGGAUCAGGUAGGGAUACCCGCUGAACUUAA
rnacentral:misc_RNA from 1 species